rnacentral:lncRNA from 1 species
AAACACUGCACAAAAUAUCACCAGCCCCAAAUUGAGCCAGGAGGUGGAACUGGAGUUUAAAAACCAACCGGGCCAACUUAAAUGGGUUUUGAAGGUGAGAACUGGCAGCAAACACUGGAAACUGGAGGGUUUUAUUGAAAAGUGUAUGGAAAUUUGCAGGGCCUUAGCAAUAACAAGAAAAAGAAAUGUGUGGUGGACUCCAAAACUAAUGUGGACUUUGCUAUAAAAAAGGUGGUUUUUUUCCAGAUAAAUUGAGAAUCUACUUGACAUUUCUGCAUUAGGUCUGUGUGGCUUUAGUCUGGCUGAAGCAAAGCAAAAAUCUGUGUGUGAGAUGCAAGACAACAAACUGUGUUUGUACUGGGGGAAGAGCUGGAUCCUCCAGAGAAAACGGCAUCAGCCCUUGGAAUACAGCCACGUGGUCCUGCUGACUCCAUUCAACCAGCACAGCUGAACUG